rnacentral:rRNA from 1 species
UACGGGGGGGGCAAGCGUUGUUCGGAAUUACUGGGCGUAAAGGGCUGGUAGGCGGCCAACUAAGUCGGAUGUGAAAUCCCCAGGCUUAACCUGGGAACUGCAUCCGAUACUGGUCGGCUUGAAUCCGGGAGAGGGAUGCAGAAUUCCAGGUGUAGCGGUGAAAUGCGUAGAUAUCUGGAGGAACACCGGUGGCGAAGGCGGCAUCCUGGACCAACACUGACACUGAGGAGCGAAAGCCAGGGGAGCAAACGGG